rnacentral:rRNA from 1 species
UACGUAGGGGGCGAGCGUUGUCCGGAAUCAUUGGGCGUAAAGAGCGUGUAGGCGGCUUGGCAAGUCUGACGUGAAAUCCCGCGGCUCAACCGCGGUAGGUCGUUGGAAACUGCCAGGCUAGAGUCCGGAAGAGGAGAGCGGAAUUCCUGGUGUAGCGGUGGAAUGCGCAGAUAUCGUGAGGAAGACCAGUGGCGAAGGCGGAUCUCUGGACAAAUCCUGACGCUGAGGCGCGAAGGCUAGGGGAGCAAACGGG